GAUAAAAGAUCAUUUACACCUGGUAGAAUAAGCACUCACCUGCCCCGCCGUUACGCUUUUCGUGCUAGGGAGAAGAAGGAACUGCAGAAAAUCCUGGAUCGAAAACGGCACAACAGCAUCUCGGAAGCGAAAUCUCGCGAGAGGAGCAAAAAAGAUGUGGAAUUAACUGAGAUCAACAGGAGGCAUAUCACGGAGUCCGUCAACUCAAUUCGGAGGCUUGAAGAGGCCCAGAAACGACGUCAGGAAAAAUUACUUUUGGGACACCAGGAAAUCGUGCAAUUGAUUGAGGACGAAGAACCACGGUUGGUAGCCCAGCUGGAACAAGACUGGCAGCUGGAGUGCUGCUCCCUGACCCAAGAGAUUGGCCGGUUCCUCCAAGAAGAACUCGACGGGAGGGUCAGCAACGGGCACCCCCCGGGCACCAGCGUCAGCUCCUUGCCCCCCGAAGACGAGCUGACGGUCCUGUGAAUCCAACGGAGAACAAGGGACGUCCCCGAAGGCCAGCCGGCCGCCAACGAGAAGCAGUGGGGGGGGGGAGCACCCUUGCAUGUUAAACACCCCCCCCGGGAGGGACGGGGGGGGGGGGGGGGGGAGGUUAGGACCGGCCGAAAAACACACUAAAGGCACUUCUUUCUGGUUUCCUUUUUUCUUUUUUUUUAAAAAAAAGUUUUAUUUUUUUAAACUUUGUGGGUUUCCCCCACCUAUAUAUUUUUUUUUAAAUUGCUAAAUUGUGACGUGUCUCCUCCCGCUUCUCCGUGGUGGAUCGAGACUGGAGAAAGUCUCCUUUUGUCAAAGAGGGGAGGGGGGCAACGGUUGGACAAUCUACUCCCCCCCCCCCCCGAAUUCUACGCACGCCCUUGUGUCCACCUAUUUUGCACGCCGUGGUGCCAGUGGAAAAACACGCAUGCCGCUCAUUGCCUCCCGUGUCCUUUCGAAUGCACGAUUAGAGAUGAGAGCAAUUUUUUUUUCUAGCGGUGGGGGGAGAGAGAGCAAAGGGUUAUUUUAAAUGCAUCCCCCUCCUUUUUUUCCCUUUCUUUCGUUUUAUUUUUUUAAAGCGCAAGAGCUUGAGAAAGAAAAAAAAUAAAAGGGAAAUGUCCAUUUUUGUUUGCGUCUUCCCUGCAGCUGGAAUGGGCUUUGCCAGCUGUGUGGAGGGAGGGGGGGCAGAGGAUACCCGGAGUGGCCACUGGAUUGGUUGGAAGGCCGUCCAGGAACAAAGGACGGCGAGGGAAGAGGGACAAAAAGUUAAAGGCAGGUUGGUCCGUCCGUCUGUCUGUCAUCGUUUUCGGGAUGGGUCCAAAGUGGAGAAGAGUCGAGGUUGACCACUGAUCAAUCUUGCCCUUUCCCCCCCCCCACUCUGGAAUGGCAUGGAUUGCUGUUAUUUCUGUCUUUUUUUUUUUUUUAACGUUGACUAAUAAACUUGUAAUUCAAUGGUCUCCC